AUUGAACGCUGGCGGCAUGCCUUACACAUGCAAGUCGAACGGCAGCACGGGAGCAAUCCUGGUGGCGAGUGGCGAACGGGUGAGUAAUAUAUCGGAACGUGCCCAGUCGUGGGGGAUAACGCAGCGAAAGCUGUGCUAAUACCGCAUACGAUCUACGGAUGAAAGCGGGGGAUCGCAAGACCUCGCGCGAUUGGAGCGGCCGAUAUCAGAUUAGCUAGUUGGGGGGGUAAAGGCCCACCAAGGCGACGAUCUAUAGCUGGUCUGAGAGGACGACCAGCCACACUGGAAAUGAGACACGGUCCAGACUCCUACGGGAGGCAGCAGUGGGGAAUUUUGGACAAUGGGCGCAAGCCUGAUCCAGCAAUGCCGCGUGCAGGAUGAAGGCCUUCGGGUUGUAAACUGCUUUUGUACGGAACGAAACGGCCCUUUCUAAUACAGGGGGCUAAUGACGGUACCGUAAGAAUAAGCACCGGCUAACUACGUGCCAGCCGCCGCCGUAA
rnacentral:rRNA from 1 species